rnacentral:tRNA from 1 species
GGGCCCGUGGCCUAGCUUGGAUAGGGCAUCGGCCUUCUAAGCCGAGAGGCGUGGGUUCAAAUCCCUCCGGGCCCGCCA